rnacentral:rRNA from 1 species
UGCACCUUUGGCCUCUUGCUAGCUUCGGUUGGCAGAGGAUUUUACACACCAACUCGAAUGUAAUGAAAACUAUUGUUGUGCGCAAGCACUAUAAUGUACAACUUUCAACAACGGAUCUCUUGGCUCUCGCAUCGAUGAAGAACGCAGCGAAAUGCGAUAAGUAAUGUGAAUUGCAGAAUUCAGUGAAUCAUCGAAUCUUUGAACGCACCUUGCACCCUUUGGUAUUCCGAAGGGUAUGCUCGUUUGAGUGUCAUUGUACUCUCACACUCUCUGAUCUUUGGAUUGGGAGCGGUGGACUUGGGUGUUGCUGCUGCGUGGUGGCUCACCUCAAAUGCAUUAGUGCAACUCCUGAUUGGACAUAGUACGGCGUGAUAAGUGUCUUCGCCGGCGCCUCGCAAGAGGGUGGCUGAUUGGGAGCUCUGUGCUUCAUAAACCGUCUUCGGACAAUUCUGACAACUUGACCUCAAAUCGAGUAGGACUACCCGCUGAACUUAAG